AAUUUUCAUCUUGAUAUUUCACAUGGAGAAACUGAGGCAUGGAGAGGCUGAGAGAAUUUGGUCAGAGUUCUGUAGUAAUCUGUCACCAAACGAGGAGGGUAUAAAAUCAGAUCUGGCUGGUCUCACAGUGUGGAGGGAAAGUCUGGACCCUCUACUGUCCGGGAAAUCUGCUUUUCCUUCUCAGCCACUUGGAGCAGGCUUUCAUCCACCAGCUAUUUAUUAUGUACUGAAAAACAGACAUCAUGGCUGUGAAACACCCUUCGGGUGCUGGAAAUGAACCCCAGUCCUCAGAAAGAUCAGCGAGUGCUGUUAGCCACUGAGACGUCUC